rnacentral:rRNA from 1 species
UACGUAGGUGGCAAGCGUUGUCCGGAUUUACUGGGCGUAAAGGGCUCGUAGGCGGCCAACUAAGUCACACGUGAAAUCCCUCGGCUCAACCGGGGAACUGCGUGUGAGACUGGAUGGCUUGAGUUUGGGAGAGGAAUGCGGAAUUCCAGGUGUAGCGGUGAAAUGCGUAGAUAUCCGGAGGAACACCAGAGGCGAAGGCGGCCUACUGGGCUGCUCCUGACGCUGAGCCGCGAAAGCCAGGGGAGCGAACAGG